rnacentral:rRNA from 1 species
GGCAGCAGUGGGGGAUAUUGCACAAUGGACGCAAGUCUGAUGCAGCGACGCCGCGUGAGGGAUGAAGGCUUUCGGGUUGUAAACCUCUUUCGGUACAGAUCAAGGUUUAUGGAAAUAAGUUGAGGGUAUGUGCAGAAGAAGCGCCGGCUAACUACGUGCCAGCAGCCGCGGUAAUACGUAGGGCGCGAGCGUUGUCCGGAAUUAUUGGGCGUAAAGAGCUUGUAGGCGGCUUGUUGCGCCUGCUGUGAAAACGCGGGGCUUAACUCCGCGCGUGCAGUGGGUACGGGCAGGCUAGAGUGUGGUAGGGGUGAUUGGAAUUCCAGGUGUAGCGGUGGAAUGCGCAGAUAUCUGGAGGAACACCGAUGGCGAAGGCAGGUCACUGGGCCAUUACUGACGCUGAGAAGCGAAAGCGUGGGUAGCGAACAGGAUUAGAUACCCUGGUAGUCCAUGCUGUAAACGUUGGGAACUAGGUGUGGGGUCCUUUCCAUGGGUUCUGCGCCGUAGCUAACGCAUUAAGUUCCCCGCCUGGGGAGUACGGUCGCAAGGCUAAAACUCAAAGAAAUUGACGGGGGCCCGCACAAGCGGCGGAGCAUGCGGAUUAAUUCGAUGCAACGCGAAGAACCUUACCAAGGCUUGACAUACACUGUGAGCUGCUAGAGAUAGUGGUGCAUUUGGUUGGUGGUGUACAGGUGGUGCAUGGUUGUCGUCAGCUCGUGUCGUGAGAUGUUGGGUUAAGUCCCGCAACGAGCGCAACCCUUGUCUCGUGUUGCCAGCAUGUUGUGGUGGGGACUCACGAGAGACUGCCGGGGUUAACUCGGAGGAAGGUGGGGAUGACGUCAAAUCAUCAUGCCCCUUAUGUCUUGGGCUUCACGCAUGCUACAAUGGCCGGUACAGAGGGUUGCGAUGCUGUAAGGUUGAGCGAAUCCCUUAAAGCUGGUCUCAGUUCGGAUUGGGGUCUGCAACUCGACCUCAUGAAGUCGGAGUCGCUAGUAAUCGCAGAUCAGCAACGCUGCGGUGAAUACGUUCUCGGGCCUUGUACACACCGCCCGUCACGUCACGAAAGUUGGUAACACCCGAAGCCCGUGGCUUAACCUUUUUGGGGGGAC